AGUCAGAAUCCAUGCCAGAACGCGGUGAUACCUCCCGCACGUUGUAGACGGAUAAGAAUAGGCUCCGGCCUCGUAUCUUAGCAGGCGAUCCGUCCGCCGGGCUCGAAAGCGCCCGUCGGCAAUUCGCGUAUUGUAAUUUCGACACGAGCGGGAUCAAAUCCUUUGCAGACGACUUAGCUGUGCGAAAGGGUCCUGUAAGCAGUAGAGUAGCCUUGUUGUUACGAUCUGCUGAGGGUAAGCCCUCCUUCGCCUAGAUUUCC
rfam:Diplodia seriata DS_831_scaffold_v01_588, whole genome shotgun sequence.